AGUUUGAUCAUGGCUCAGAUUGAACGCUGGCGGUAUGCUUAACACAUGCAAGUCGAACGGUAGCAGCUCUUCGGAGGCUGACGAGUGGCGGACGGGUGAGUAACGCGUAGGAAUCUGCCUAUUAGUGGGGGACAACUUGUGGAAACGCAAGCUAAUACCGCAUACGCCCUACGGGGGAAAGGAGGGGAUCUUCGGACCUUUCGCUAAUAGAUGAGCCUGCGUUAGAUUAGCUAGUUGGUGGGGUAAGAGCCUACCAAGGCGACGAUCUAUAGCUGUUCUGAGAGGAAGAUCAGCCACACUGGGACUGAGACACGGCCCAGACUCCUACGGGAGGCAGCAGUGGGGAAUAUUGGACAAUGGGCGAAAGCCUGAUCCAGCAAUACCGCGUGUGUGAAGAAGGCCUUAGGGUUGUAAAGCACUUUCAAUUGGGAGGAAAAACAAGGGUUAAUACCCCUUGUCUUGACAUUACCUUUAGAAGAAGCACCGGCUAACUCCGUG
rnacentral:rRNA from 1 species